rnacentral:lncRNA from 1 species
CUCAAGUAUUCUUUCUUUUGCAUGUCAAAGUGCCAUUGUUCCCCCUUUAUCUUUGAGGUGGUGUUAUAGCGUUCCUGUUAGUGGAGGAUUCUCGAAGAGAAUUUAUUUCAAGAAUGAGAUAUUUAAAUCCACCAAUUCUUUGAUCAUGAGAUUUUUUCAACCCAUCUUUUCUACCAUUGAGCUAGCUUAUUUUGGAUUACACAUAAAGCUUUUCCUAAGGGUUAUUGCUGUUAUGGUGAUUAUCGUUAACCCAAGUUCUCAAUAUAUCUUCUUGGUGUAAGAAGUUGUGCAUAUCUUGUUGUUGGGUAACGUCGCAUGGGAAACAAAAAUUUUCCUACGCGCACGAAGACCUAUCAUGGUGAUGUCCAUCUACGAGAGGGGAUGUGUGAUCUACGUACCCUUGUAGAC